GGCCUGAUUGAGCUCUUAGCCCUGAGCUAAAAUCUCCCUUCGCCCAGACCUGAGGAGGCUCUUAGCCCUGAGCUAAAAUCUCCCUUCGCCCAGACCUGAGGAGGCUCUUAGCCCUGAGCUAAGGUGCAGUGUGAAUAUUCUCUUAGCCCUGAGCUAAGGGGCAGUGUGAAUAUUCUCUUAGCCCUGAGCUAAGGUGCAGUGUGAAUGCAUAUUUUCUGUGUGAAAGUUGGAACAAAUGUGUGUUCUUUCAAUCACCAAAUCUCCUUUUUUGUCAUUAAAGCCUCUCUCUCUUUUUUUUCAACUAUCUCCGUCUUUGUUUUUCUUCUUUAGUGCCUCAUUCUGUCUGUUUCUAUAUACUGUUAUUCUUCCUCCUCACUGAUACAAUGUUAAAAAAAAAAGUAUCUUGCUAAGUUUCCUGUACGUUUCUAGCUAUGACAUGAAGUGGUAUAAGACAGUACUAGUAAAGCAAGAUGAAAAAUACUUUUAAAAAGGUCUCACAUUACUACCGGAGGUAUUUAUAAGGCUUUGUUUAGAAUGUGUUCAGUACAAAAUGUAAUCCAACUCCUCAUGCCUUAAGGUUUGAUGCAUAUUAAAAUAUCUAUGAAUUCAUUACUUCA